rnacentral:rRNA from 1 species
AUGCAUACGGUGGAUGCCUUGGUCGAAAGUACCGAUGAAGGACGUAACAAGCUGCGAUAAGCUUUGGGGAGCUGCUAAUAAGCUUUGAUCCAGAGAUUUCCGAAUAAAGUAAUUACCCCGCCUCGGCGGGGGAUCCCUACAUGAAUACAUAGUGUCGGGAGGGGUACGCGCCGAACUGAAACAUCUAAGUAAGCGCAGGAAAAUAAAUCAACAGAGAUUCCCCCAGUAGCGGCGAGCGAAAAGGGAGGAGCCCAAACCCUGAGAGUAAUCAAAGGGGGUUGUAGGAAUCCAAUAUCUGAUCCUUUAAUGGUAGCUAAAUACACUGGAAAGUGUAACCAAAGAGAGUGAGAGUCUCGUAAGCGAAACCAAAAAAGGCGGUAGGAUCACCUGAGUAGCACAGGACACGUGUAAUCCUGUGUGAAUCCAGCAAGACCACUUGCUAAGGCUAAAUAUACUUUCGGACCGAUAGUGAACUAGUACCGCGAGGGAAAGGUGAAAAGAAGAGCGAAACGCUCAGUGAAAUAGUACCUGAAACCGUAUGUUGACAAGCAGUGGAAGUGUGCGUUGCGCAUAGGAUAUAAGGAGAAGGAUAGAAGUGAUCAGUCAAAAUUGACUAAUCAUUACUUCCUAUGAUCCUUCUAUCUUGCGCGCAGCGCAUACGACCGCGUGCCUAUUGAAGAAUGAACCGGUGAGUUACCGCAUCCCUUUUGCUUAAGCCAUUUUGUGGCGGAAGCGUAGUGAAAGCGAGGGUUAAUAGCCCGAUUUAAAGGAUGCGAUAGACCCGAAACCGAGUGAGCUAUCCAUGUCCAGGGUGAACUCCGACGAAAGUCGGAGGGAGGCCCGAACCCGUUGUUGUAUCAAUAACUUGGGAUGAGAUGUGGUUAGAGGUGAUAUGCCUAACGAACUCGGAGAUAGCUGGUUCUCCUCGAAAUAUAUCUAGGUAUAGCCUGAAAGGUAAGCACAGGGGUAGAGCACUGGAUCGAUUUUUCAGCGUAAGCUGGAAGAUUGAAUCAAACUCCGAAUACUGUGCCAAUUACUUUCAGAGUCAGUCCGAUCCGGCUAAGCGGAGCGGGCCUGAGGGAAACAUCCCAGACCAACAGCUAAGGUCCCUAAAUGCAAGUUAAGUGUUAAAGGAAGUCAUAUUCCUUAGACAGCCAGGAAGUUGGCUUAGAAGCAGCCAUCUUUUAAAGAUAGCGUAACAGCUCGCUGGUCUAGUCACGGAGUGUGGCACCGACAAUGAAUCGGGGCUAAACUUGCUACCGAAGCUUUGGGUCUUGUCGAGGCGGUAGAGGAGCGUUCUAUACGGAGUGAAUAGUUGUCGUAAGGCGACUUGGACUGUAUAGAAGUGAGAAUGCCGGUAUGAGUAGCGAAUUUACGUGAGAAACGUAAUCGCCGAAUGCCCAAGGUUUCCCACGCAAUGUUAAUCAGCGUGGGGUUAAUCGGUCCUAAGGUCAGUCCUCCUUUUGGAGGAGUAGCCGAUGGAUUACAGGUUAAAAUUCCUGUAUUGAGGUUGUUCUGACAAGUCCUCUUGUGCUUCGCACAGAGGAUAUUAGGAAGAAGGAUAGUAGUAACUAGUCUUUUUGAUUAAUCACUGCUUCCUGUUAUCCUACUAUCUUUUGUGCGGAGUGCAAGUAAGGAGCUUUCAAGGGUGAACGAAGUGGAAUAGUCAAGUCAGGCAAUGCCUGAUUUAAAUAGCAAGCAAGUAGAAAUCGGCAAAUCCGUUUUUAUGUUUAUGUGAGCUAUGAUGACGUAAGUUGACGAUUUUCUGUUUCCAGGAAAAGACUCGUGUAAGAGAACAAUUUUAACCGUACCGUAAACCGACACAGGUGGGCGAGUUGAGUAUACAAAGGCGAUCGGGAGAACUAUCCUUAAGGAACUCGGCAACGAAAGCUGGACGUAACCUUUGGGAGAUGUCCUGGUCCGACGUAACGUCGGACUUACAACAAAAGACGCUAAGCGACUGUUUAACAAAAACACAGGUCCCUGCUAAAUCGAAAGAUGAUGUAUAGGGGCUGACACCUGCCCAGUGCCAGUAAUUUACUGUCUCAAGUGACUUCCGACGUAAGUCGGAAUGAGCCUGGGGCCUAAGAUCUGGUGAACGGCAGCAGUAACUAUAACUGUUCUAUGGUAGCGAAGUUCCUCGUGUCUGGCGAGUUCAGACCCGCACGAAAGGUUGAACGACUUAGCGACUGUCUUGAGGAUAGACCCGGCGAAAUUGCAAUGGCUGUGAAGAUGCGGCCUUCCCAUACUAAAUUUAAAAUUGUGUAGCGUAGGAGGGACUCCGACGUAACGUCGGAGGACAAUGAAACACCUCUCUUUUUUGAAUUUAGGUCUUACCUACUCCCUUAUAAAAACAGGGAAUGAGACAAGGUCUGGCGGGCAGUUUAACUGGGGCGGUUCCCUCCAAAAGAGUAACGGAGGGGUACUAAGGUACACUUAGCGCGUAAGGAAAUCGCGCAUCAAGCGUAAAGGUAUAAAGUGUGCUUAAUAGCGAGACUCACAAGUCGAGCUAAUACGAAAGUAGGUCUUAAUGAUCCCCUGAUUGUUCGUGGGAACGUCAGGGCUUAUCGGAUAAAAGUUACCCCGGGGAUAACAGGCUAGUCUUGCCCUACAGUCCACAAGGACGGCAAGGUUCGGCACCUCACAGCGAUGUCGGCUCAUCGCAGCGCGGGGCUGAAGCAGGUCCCAAGCGUCUGGCUGUUCGCCAGUUAAAGCGGUACGCGAGCUGGGUUCAGAGCGUCGUAAGACAGCUCGGACUCUAUCCAGUAUGGGCGUUUUGAUUCUUGAGGGGAGUUGUCUCUAGUAAGAACGAGAGGACCGAGAUGAGGCAACCUCUAGUGUGCCUGUUGUACCAAAAGUGCAGCGCAGGGUAGCUACGUUGUUUUCUGAUAAGCGCUGAAAGCAUCUAAGCACGAAGCAGACCCCAAGAUGAGGAAUCUUGAAAAGCAAUCCCGCAAGGGAUUGUAAGACCCCUGGGAGACUACCAGGUUGAUAGGUUGGCGGUGUAAGUGCUGUAAGGUAUUUAGCCUACCAAUACUAAUGGUC